rnacentral:misc_RNA from 1 species
AACUUUCAACAACGGAUCUCUUGGCUCUCGCAUCGAUGAAGAACGCAGCGAAAUGCGAUAAGUAAUGUGACUUGCAGACUUCAGUGAAUCAUCGAAUCUUUGAACGCACCUUGCGCCCCUUGGACAUUCCGAGGGGCAUGCCUGUUUGAGUAUCAUGAACACCUCAACUCUCUACGGUUUGCCGUGGUCAGCUUGGACUUUGGCGCCUUGCUGGCCCACGGUCGGCGCCUCUCAAAUGAAUCAGCUUCCCAGUGUUUGGUGGCGUCACGGGUGUGAUAACUAUCUACGCUCGCGGCAGCCUGCCUCGUAACCUUCGGAGACGGAGGUUCGCUGGAGCUCAAAAACGUCUCUCCUCAGCGAAGACAGCUUUUUUAACGUUCGAUCUCAAAUCAGGUAGGACUACCCGCUGAACUUAAGCAUAUCAAUAAGCGGAGGCU